GCAUCGAUGAAGAACGCAGCAAAAUGCGAUACGUAAUGUGAAUCGCAGUUCUCGUGAAUCAUCAAAUCUUUGAACGCACCUUGCACUUCCAUUUAACCGGAAGUAUAUCUGUUCGAGUAUUAUUAUACUCUCAUUUACAACACUUGUUGUAUUUGGACUUGAGUGUUCUGUCUGGCCGCUUUCGCAGACUGUCACUUUAAAUGAAAGAGUUUGAGAGCGUCUAAAGACAUCUCUGUUCCCUUGACUUGUUCAAAAUGAGCCUUGGGAACGUAGUCUUGUGCUGUGCCGAAGCAAACUCUAGGACCGAGGGGCAUAAAGGCCUUGAGCCUUUCACCUUUAAUCUCGAAUCAGAUAAGAUUACCCGCUGAACUUAAGCAUAUCAAUAAGCGGAGGA
rnacentral:rRNA from 1 species